GCCCGGUCGCCGCCGCGCCCACCAGCAGCCAGGCGGCCAGGCCAACCGGCGGCCUCCGGGGGAACAUGCUGCCCGCACGCCCCGCCGGGCCCAGGUGCUCUCUGCGCCCGCCGCGUGCCCGGAGGCGAGCGAGGCCUCGCUCAAGGGGCGAAAGGAACGAGCCCGGGAGGGCGCAGGCGACCUCCUGCCGAGCCCCCCUAGUUGGCCGGCCCCGAAGUCGUCUGACGCUCUAACAGGUCCUUCAUCUCUCGGCAGCAACCGCUGAGGAAGUCUCCUUUAGGGAAGAGAGUCGGACAUGGCACCGGCCGCGGGGGGCGGGCCCGCGACCGCUGCAGGAGGUGCUCCGCGGUUCCGGCCGGACAGCCCCGUCGGCCCCCUGCCUCCUCGGCGUCCUCAGGCCGGCGCCAGGGGCCUUGCUACAGAGCGCGCGGGAAGCGGCGAGGCUGGCGGCGAAGUCCCCAGCGUUCCGCGUCCACCACAUGCGCUGCCAGCUUGCAACCUACUCCGGUCUCUGCCGCCCGGCCCUGAUUGGGCGCGGCCCGGACUCCCGGUGCUGAUUGGCGGUGCCAAGUGCCCGUCACCGCCCCUUCGCGCGGCGCGCCGGGACCUCUAGCUAGCAAGCUGAGAAGAUCAAAGAGAAGACACUGGAGAUCAGCUGAGACAGAGAAGAAAGAAGAGAGUAACUUGAGGAGACAGACCUGGAAACAAACAAUGACGAGGCCAUGUCAUGAGUGUGCUAAUGGGGGUGUUAGACAAGGCUCUGUCAGGGACACCAGCGAGGGGAACCCCGACCCUGCGGGGGAGGGGAAAGCUUAGCAUGUGGGGCUUCACAAGCCCGGCAUCCUCUCCAUUUCUGGGAAACACUGUCUCAGCUGCUCAGCCUCCGUUUUCCCUUCUUUUAGUGAAAGUACUUUGAUUUCCUUUUCAUGGAACCACACCUCCCAUACCCACUCCCUCCUCUCAUCCAAGUGAUUCUAUUCCCAGCAUGGCGGGGCGGGGGGGGGGGGGGCGGUUGACAAUGACCCUAGACCAAGCCAGUCAGGGCAUCCGGUCCCUCUAACUGCAGGGACUCAUUCAGGAACAAGGUCAGUCCCAAGUUGGUCAAAUCAGAGUGAACCCUGGGACAUUUGUAAACUGCAGGGAAAGAGAGCUUGCUCUGUUUUCAGUUGAAAUUGGUGCUCUGAGGAAAGCCUGAAGCUAAGUAUCACCAUUAGGGAAAAGCCUGGCUGGGAAACGGAGCCAACUUCCAGAAGUGGAGCUGAAAGACUGAAGUGGUCAGGGGGCACCUGUGGAGCUCCUGAAUUCGCUGCAUUACAUGACUUAUCUGGUCCUAAGCCAGUAAAUUCCUUUCUUGCAUGA